rnacentral:lncRNA from 1 species
GCCCCUUGUGCCUCUAUCCAGUCCUGCCUUCCCCGUCAGUCCUCUCUCCUUCUUCCCACUGACCCUCCAGGCCCAACACAGAUCAACCAGGUGGUGAGUCACCCAAACCAGCCUCUCACCAUCACUGCGCACGACGACAGGGGCAUCCGGUUCCUGGACAAUCGGACAGGUGAGGCCCAGCCUUAGUUUCCCUUCCGUAUGUUUUUUUGGGGUUUGGGGGCAUGGGACAAGGGCAGAGCACAUUCAGACAACUGAAUCCUGGUGACUCCUCGUUCCCAGCCCCUCAGCUUCCCAGAUAGGGUAAAUAGUUGUGGGUUCUCCAGCCACUCCCUAUCCUCCCCCAGGUAAAUCCGUGCAUUCCAUGGUGGCCCACCUGGACGCAGUCACCUGCCUAGCUGUGGACCCAAAUGGCGUGUUCUUGAUGUCAGGAAGUAAGUUGGGCGCCUCUUGCUACUCCUUCCUCUGGAGGGUUGGAGGCAAAGAGGAGGGGCUACAGCCAUGGCGGGCAGCUCCACUCUGAGGGUGCUAGAAGUUCCUGCCUGAGCCUCACUGGCUCUCAUUGACUCCUCUCCUUGGGAGCCCUGCCUGGGGUUGGGGGCAGGGUGGUUCUUGUGUUGCAGGCUUGUGGUGAUGGGAUCAGAGUUUGAGUACUUGAUCUGUGUCUGCUUUCAGAUACGGGCUCAGCACCAUCUACUCUAGAAUAGGUGGAGAGGUCUCUCCCCAGCAGUGUCGGCUGCGAUGGGUGU